rnacentral:rRNA from 1 species
GACGUAGGGCGCGAGCGUUGUCCGGAUUUAUUGGGCGUAAAGAGCUCGUAGGCGGCUUGUCGCGUCGACUGUGAAAACCCGCGGCUCAACCGCGGGCUUGCAGUCGAUACGGGCAGGCUAGAGUUUGGGUAGGGGAGACUGGAAUUCCUGGUGUAGCGGUGAAAUGCGCAGAUAUCUGGAGGAUACCGGUGGCGAAGGCGGCAUCCUGGACCGGCAUGACGCUGAGGAGCGAAAGCCAGGGGAG